UACGUAGGGUGCAAGCGUUGUCCGGAAUUAUUGGGCGUAAAGAGCUCGUAGGCGGUCUGUCGCGUCGGCUGUGAAAUCCCGAGGCUCAACCUCGGGUCUGCAGUCGAUACGGGCAAACUGGAGUGUUGCAGGGGAGACUGGAAUUCCUGGUGUAGCGGUGAAAUGCGCAGAUAUCAGGAGGAACACCCGGUGGCGAAGGCGGCAUCCUGGACCGGCAUUGACGCUGGAGGCGCGAAAAGCCCAGGGGGAGCAAAACAGGA
rnacentral:rRNA from 1 species